AAAAAUUGUUUUACAAAUCAGAACAUCUGAAUUAUAAUCCCUGAUCUGCUAACAAGCUAUGAUCCUUGCAUAUAACUGGUUCUCAUUUUUGUCACUCUAAAAUUAGAACAUCACAAGAUAGCCAGAUGCAGCAGAGGAUACCAGAAAAAAUGCUGACUUGGAAACCCCUGACAUCCUGGGUCUGGUCCAUGCUCUGUAACACAAGAGGUUAAUUUAUCUGAACCUCAGAUAUCCUCAUCUUAAAAUGAAGUACAACAAAAUCAUCUCCAAAGUCCUGUCUAAAAUCCUAUGGUUCUAUGAAAUGAAUUAAAAUGAAGUUACUUUGAUGAUAUGUGGGCUACAGUAUAUAAGACAAAAAGAUUAAUUGAAAUAUUUGUCAAUAAAAAGUUGAAGUAUAUGCUUGCAGCAUACUAAAAUACUGGUCUUCCCUUUAUAUUUUUCUCUACAUCCUCUUGUGCCCCCAAAUCAGUAUUAUUUUUAUGGUUAAGCUGUGUAAAUAUGUCCCCUUUUCACCUCUGUUGGCUUAGAAUGCUAGGAGCUGAGCUGCACUAAGACAUUACUUCUUUCGUUAUAUGGAAUUAUCUCCUUGCUUUAAAUGAUUAGAUUCUGAAAUAGCAUCCCUGACAUGUCUAAAAUAAGAGUUUUACACUUAAAAAAUGUUGAAGAGUAGAUAAGCAGAUAUAUUAGUCAGAAACAUACAUGGCUAAAGUAACAGGAAACCAAACAGUGUCUUAAACAAUCUGGAGUUUAUUUUUUCUCAUUUAAUAAUUGGGGAGUUUGGCAAUUGCUCAUCUUGAUUUGGGUGUUCAACAAUGCCAUAUCAGGGACCCAGGAUCCCCUUAAUCCUCCUUCAGUUCUAUCUCUGAAAUGUAACUUUCAUUCUCACAUUUGCUGUUUCAUGGUUGUUUGAUGGCAGCUGCACCUUUAGGCAUGCUGUUGGCCAGAAAGAGGAGAAAGAGGAAGAGGGAUCCUUGCCACUAUCAGAUCAAACUAAGGUACUGCUAAAGAAGAAAUAAAGGUAAUAGCUGUAGGCAACUGCCUGCUGUAAUGGGAUUAUCAGUACAUUUAAGUUGAAGUUUAUAAAUAACUAAGGAUUGGCAAUGUGCUUAACAAAUAUAAAAUCUUGGAAAGAAGUUAUUAAAAUUUUGAAAAAAUAAAGUGAUACUGGCCAGGCUCAGUGGCUCAUGCCUGUAAUCCCAGCAUUUCGGGAGGCUGAGGCGGGUAGAUCACUUGAGGCCAGGAGUUUCAGACCAGCCUGGCCAACAUGGUGAAACCCCAUCUCUACUAAAAAUACAAAAUUAGCCAGGCAUGGUGGCACAUGCCUGUAGUCCCAGCUACUCAGAGGCUGAGGCACAAGAAUCGCUUGAACCCGGGAGGAGGUUGCAGUGAGCUGCGAUCACGUCACUGCACUCCAGCCUGGGUGACAGAACGAGACUGUCUCAAAAAAAAAAAAAAAAAAGUGAAACUAAGGCAGACAGCUAUAAGAGGCACUGAAUUACUUAUUACACAAAUAUAAUUGCUAGAGUAAACACUAAUCCAGUGACUGACGGGGAGGAGGUUUGAAGGGGAAAAGGUAGUGAAACAACGUGCAGGCACUAUUUUCUUUACAGAAAAUGUAAAUUUCAAAUGGUUCAUCAUGUUGAAAAUGCAGUUACUAAUUUCAUGUGUACAAAGACGGGAUCUUUGUGGUAAUAAAGAUUAGUAGAGAAUUACCUUCAGAUGAGAAGAGUUCUUUCACAGAAUAUAUUAAUCAGCUGCCUAUUACUCGUGGCAGAAUAAAACGAAAAUGACUGUAAUAUGAAAGAUUAGACUAGAUAUGGAGAAUAAUUUAUUAGCAGAACUAUUCAAAAGGUUAAAAGAAGCUGAUAUUGACAAUACUUUUCUUUCUAAACACUUCUAGAUUGUCAAUUCCUCCACAAUCCCCACUUGUCCAAAGCAGCAAUGACAAGUCUGUAGAUGCCUCUGUAUAUUUUUAGUAAAAAUAAAUUUAAAUAUAUUUAUUAUAAACAAAUACCAUAAAUAUUUGCGGUGAACAGUUGCUAUUUUAAAAACUGAUUUGUGUCUAAAUGAAAUUUAACUUUCAAGUCUCUUCUAUUUUGUUGAAACAUGUCAAAUACUGUUGAAGGUAGCAUAAUGGUUGUUUAUUAUGAAAAGAGAAAAAUAAAAAAUUCUAACUAAGGUAAUGAUAGAAUAGGAAAAUUUUAACAUUUUUGUUUCUAAGGAUAGUUUUAAUUUUCUUAUUUUUUUCAAAAUUAAAAAUAACUACAACCCCUUUAAUCCCUACUCUUUAUGAUUCUUUAAUAUUCUUUCAUGUAAUUUACUAUUAAAGGAUUCAAUAAAUAUAACUUGCAUAAAAGUUAAAGUGUCGUAACACAUAUUUAUCUUAAGGCAUUUUAUAUGUAAAAAUCUCAAUUAUGUCCUAUAUCAAAACAAAAAUUUUACAAAGAAAUAUUGCUGAACUUUGGAGAAUGACAUAUUUUAAGCAAGAUUCAUCAGAAGGAUAUUACAGCAGAUAAAACAAUUCAAAUAGCCCACUGGAAUGUACAGCAAAAUCCAAUUCGACAAUAUAAACAAAGUCAAAAUAAUCUGCUUCGGUCAGCUACAUAUGCUGUGACUUUGCUAUCACCAGUAAGGAGUUAACUAGAAACUGAGUUCUUAAACAAUAUAUCCACUGUGAGUAUAACAAAAUGAAGUUAGAAUCUUCAUAUGCAAGUUUAAUAAAUCAUCAUGGUUUAUUUAACAAGGUUAUACUACAUUAGAGUUUUAUAUAUAUACAUGUAUAU
rnacentral:lncRNA from 10 species